rfam:Oryza glumipatula chromosome 1, whole genome shotgun sequence.
UUUAAGUGCAACCAUAAGUUUCCGUGCUCAACUUUGAUCGUCCGUCUUAUUUAAUUUUUUUUAUAAUUAGUAAUUUUGUUGUUAUGAGAUAAUAAAACAUAAAUAGUACUUUAUGUGUGACUUAUGUUUUUAAAUUUUUUCGAAAAAUUUUCAAUAAGAUGGACGAUUAAAGUUAGGCAUGGAAACUCAUGGCUGCACUUAAA